GCUCAGCUAUUUAAAAAAUGUUGAAUAUCAACAAUGGCUUUCACUGGGGCAUUGUCAACUUUUGUAUGAAGCAAUCUUGGCUGAAUGCGAUGGCUCCCAGUGCAGGGAGGGCUCGGCUCAGCGCUGCUGCGGAAUGGAAGACUGCCGCUCGCCUGCCCUUCUGUCUCUCGUCUCGGCAUGGUGACAUGGUUUGAGAGUCUUACCUGGCUCUCUUCAGCUAAACAGUCUUCAGGACCCUAAAGAUGCAGAGGGAAGGAUUAUGAAGAACGGCUGUGCAAUGGUACAAGUUCUUAUCUUUUCUCGGACUGUAUGAUACCAUGACAAAACAGUUAAACAACAGGCUGUGGACACCAGUGGAAGACACAGGCUGUAGUCUUCAACAGUGAAUUACCUGUAGUACAUUUGCCUGCAGGUCUUAUACCACCAUGAUGGCACAGUUACUGGUCCACCCCACUUCUAUAUUUAAAUGGAUUGAGCUCAACAAAACAGGUGAGCCAGACGUGUAUAUUCAGUGUUCAUUUGAUAUCACUCUGUUUGUCUUGUGUGUAAAGGGUUUCUGUUCCUGUUUGCUUUUGUUAGGGACACUGAGCCCCCCUCUUACCGGGAUCAUCUGUCUGCCUGGUGGACGAGCUGCGUCCUGCCCACUGCACCCAAUUCACAUAGAAAUUUACUCAAAUACUACAGCCUGGGAAGCGUGGGACCGCGGCCAGGCAGCAGCUGCUGACCGGCCAGUGCUGACCUGUGCGCUUAGGCGAACUGGAUUUCACCACACGCCCACCGGCCUGGCCCUGCAUACCUCCACAGGCGGACAGCGGUUAUGUGUGUCCCAGCAUGCCCAGUGUAGCCACGUGGACAUGGAUGCAUGGAAGUGUUCAAACAACAAAAGCAAAAAGGAAAAUACAGUCAGAUCAGUGUAAUUUUUAUUGGUGGUCCUAAAAGAGAAGAAUAAAUCUGUACUAAAUAUAAAAAUUAUUGUUUAGUGUUUACAUGAACAUUUGUAUAAAAUAUAACUGACUAAAUACUUACAGUGUACUUAUUUAUUAAUGAAUUCUGUACUUUAUUUCGUUCAUUUUCAACAACUUGAUUUUUCAACCAUUUUUUUCAUUAUUUAUCCCUGUAUUGUUGUAUGAGACAGUAGAAAAUAUGGGUCAUUUUUAAAAAAUAGUUUGCAAAUGAGUGUAAAACAUGGUACAUUUUAAAAGAGAGGAGUUUAUACACAUCUAUCUGUCCACCGCUUUUUAUUUCCCUACAGCCAUUGAGAUUCCACUCUUGCCUCUUGGCUUUGGCCCACUGUGGUUGCCAUGGCAACCAGUAAAUUGGUUAGCAGGAUGAGUAAUGAUAUGACGUGGUGGAAAUGGAAGGUCCCAACAAAGAACUUAUUACAGCAGCAACUUUUUAUAACUUUCCAUUGUUGUCAAGUGCUCCUGAUAUUAACCUGCCUCUGCCAGGGUUCCCCGGGCCUGAAACAGUGCGUGUGCAUAUUGUCAAGUCUCCAGAGAGAAAAAAGAGUGAAAGAGAGAAAGGGCAAUGGGAGGAGGGCAGUAUCUCUCUCUUCAUCCCCCUCUCUCUCUUCUCAUCACCUUAACAAUUUCUGGGCUAUAGGACGUGCAGAACACUUGUUAAUUCACUUUCGGUUUACCACAUUUCCGCAAAAAUAUAAAGCAGCACACCUGCUUUAAAAUCAGCAUAUUAGAAUGGUUUCUGAAGGAUCAUGUGACACUGAGUAAGGUCAUAGUACUCACUUGUGAAAAUCCUUGUGAAGAAUCCACACGAGCAGCUUACAAGGUAAAAGAGCACUGAGAGAGAGGUAGAUUAGGGGGAAGUGAUAGAGCUGGCACAGGAUGUUUGAGUGUUUGCUCUUGCUUUAACAACAUCCUCUGUGCAGACACCCAGGCAGGCAGUCAGAUGGGGUCGGAGAUAGAAGACUGCAGUCGGCCUGGUCUGCUGCCUGACCCAUUGUUUUACUUAUCUCUGUCCUGGCCUAUCUGCUGAGCCAGGGGCUAUUGAAGAGUGGGCAGGGGGAUGGAUGACCACUGAUAAUAAGACAAAGACAAGUGCUCCUGCUUCAUUCAGAAACUGCAGGGAAGUACUGGCCCUAAUUAGUAGAUCAACAUAUUGGUGCUCAAUUAUCCAAUUCCAGGUCGAAUUGGGUUGGGAUGUAGGCCUGCCUGUUGGAAGAUGUGCAAGUAUGUGCAAGAUUUAAACUUGGAG
rnacentral:lncRNA from 12 species